GUCCACGCCGUAAACGAUGGGUGCUAGGUGUCGCGGGCUUUGACCCCUGCGGUGCCGUAGCCAACGCAUUAAGCACCCCGCCUGGGGAGUACGGCCGCAAGGCUAAAACUCAAAGGAAUUGACGGGGCCCGCACAAGCGGUGGAGCAUGUGGUUUAAUUCGACGCAACGCGAAGAACCUUACCUGGGCUAGAAAACGCAGGAACCCGGUCGAAAAAGUCGGGGUGCUCUUCGGAGAACCUGUGGUUAGGUGCUGCAUGGCUGUCGU
rnacentral:rRNA from 1 species